GAAAGCCCACGGCUCAACCGUGGAGGGUCAUUGGAAACUGGGGGACUUGAGUGCAGAAGAGGAAAGUGGAAUUCCACGUGUAGCGGUGAAAUGCGUAGAGAUGUGGAGGAACACCAGUGGCGAAGGCGACUUUCUGGUCUGUAACUGACGCUGAGGCGCGAAAGCGUGGGGAGCAAACAGGAUUAGAUACCCUGGUAGUCCACGCCGUAAACGAUGAGUGCUAAGUGUUAGGGGGUUUCCGCCCCUUAGUGCUGCAGCUAAC
rnacentral:rRNA from 1 species